AACGAACGCUGGCGGCGUGGUUAAGACAUGCAAGUCGUACGGUUGCGUUGUAGCAAUAUGGCGCAAUAGUGGCGGACGGGUGAGUAAUGAAUAGGUAACGUACCCCGAACUCAGGGAUAGCGUCGGGAGCUUGCUCCCUUUGCGAAAGUGACGGUAAUACCUGAUGAUAUCCUCGGUUGGCAUCAACUGGGAAUCAAAGGCGGGGACCCGCAAGGGCCUGUUGGUUUGGGAGCGGCCUAUUUCCUAUCAGCUUGUUGGUGAGGUAACGGCUCACCAAGGCUUGACGGGUAGCCGGACUGAGAGGUUGGACGGCCACAUCGGGACUGAGACACUGCCCCGGACACCUACGGGUGGCUGCAGCAACGAAUAUUCCGCAAUGGACGAAAGUCUGACGGAGCGACGCCGCGUGCAGGAUGAAGUCCCUCGGGAUGUAAACUGCUGUCAGGGUGAG
rnacentral:rRNA from 1 species